AUUGAACGCUGGCGGCAGGCCUAACACAUGCAAGUCGAACGAGUGGCGGACGGGUGAGUAAUGUCUGGGAAACUGCCUGAUGGAGCGGGAUAACUACUGGAAACGGUAGCUAAUACCGCAUACCAUCGGAUGUGCCCAGACGGGAUUAGCUAGUAGGGGGGGUAACGGCUCACCUAGGCGACGAUCCCUAGCUGGUCUGAGAGGAUGACCAGCCACACUGGAAAUGAGACACGGUCCAGAGUCCUACGUGAGGCAGCAGUGGGGAAUAUUGCACAAUGGGCGCAAGACUGAUGCAGUCAUGCCGCGGGUAUGAAGAAGGCCUUCGGGUUUUAAAGUACUUUCAGCGGGAAGGCGUUACCCGCAGAAGAAGCACCGGCUAACUCCGUGCCAGCAGCCGCGGUAAUUC
rnacentral:rRNA from 1 species